AAAUUAUUUUCCCGUUAGAAAACGACACCUCGCAAUUGUAUGUCGUUUCCAACUGUUUGUAGGGGGCGGGGAACAAUUCUUCAGUCUGUUUUCCGUUUGGAAUAUUCGUAUAAGCUUGUGUAACUGUGUGCGCGACGCGGCAUAUCGUAACGGGGGUGGACAAUAGAUUAGCUUCAACAGGAACAGGCCAAAAUGGUCUUUCACGAUGCUCCGCUGAACUUUGAGAACUUUCUAGAUCUGGAUAACAUGUGUGUGUUUGGGUGCCAAUAAAUGCCAUUGACUUUGAAGUCAAUAUGGUCAUGCAUGGGGAAACCACAGACAAACCAAACAGAAUACCGUUGGUGAUGAUGUGGACACGGAGUUACACGGAGGACAUGCUAGAGGGCAUACGGAACAUUGUUAACAAGGUGUCCAUCGAAAACACUUGCGAUGGGCUGGUGAAAUUGGAUACAAGCUAACCACAGGCAAAAAGAUGUAGACUUUGGAGAUUCUGACAAUGAGAACCAGCCCGAUGCUUACCAAGCUCGCCUAAAUGCCGAGUCCAAAGAAAAGGAGGAGGAAGAUAAUGACGGCGAUGAUUCCGAAGAAAGACGUGGCCGAGGAGUAUGACAGCAAGGUGGAGGUUGAUUCGGACGACGGCAUUGACGCUAGUGGCGGUGGAGGAAAGGGUGGCACUGAUGGUUCGCCCAAAAAAAAGCACAAGGAAAAGAAUAGUAAACUGUAUUAAAUAUUUGUCUAUCCCGAAGAAAAAAAAAAAAGAAGAAGGAUACCAGGGACUCUCGCCUUCAUGUUGGGGUUUAAGGAUACCCGUUAAAGCAUUAAGCGCGAAAAUCCGGCCAUCAGAGCCGAAAACCCAAAAAAGGACGUUGAAAUGCGGAAGGAGCUCGAGGACAAGUCAAAACGCGAAGAGGACGCUAACAAGAAUAAGCUUCGCUAUCAGGAAGAUAUGCGCAACUACAAGUGCGGAGCGGGCGGUGGCAGUGAUGACGACAAGGGAGGCUCCAGCAAGGCAACCAAGUAACGCAAAUCUGACCCACCGCCAUCGAAGAAAGCAAAUACCUCUGGCAGUGGCUUCAAGAGCAAGGAACUCAUCUCCGAUGAUGAAAGUGAUUGGGCUCCCAGUCAUUGAACGCUAUUCCAUAAUUCAGUCACACAUAUAGUUUUUAAGUUCUCCCUAAGAGCAAAACCAAACUUUUUAUGGUAUUAAUAAUUUCCCAUAAUUUUUUAUUUUUAUCAUGAAUUGGUUUUUGUAGGCACUUUCGUUUUGAUGACCUAUUGGGGUUUAGUCAGUCGUUUUUCUCUGUCUUCGGUUAUGGUUUGGGUUUUGGCACAUUAUCCCGGGAGCCCAAUGAUGACGGUUGCUCUUGUUCCAGAGGCCAAAGCACCACCAGAGUUAUCAUAGCCAUGUUAAGAACACCAGGACAUCCGAGGAAUUGCUGAGGCUUGCGCAUUGAGUUCUCCACGGGCAUCACUACACCAAUUCCCUACAUUGCGAAGAUGACCGUCGCAAAGAGGAGGGGAAUGUGCGCGGCCGGGGCGAUCAGCGGCUUAUCAGAGUAGACUAGUGGCUCGUC
rnacentral:sRNA from 1 species